UACGUAGGUGGCAAGCGUUAUCCGGAUUUACUGGGCGUAAAGGGAACGCAGGCGGCCUUUUAAGUCUGAUGUGAAAGCCUUCGGCUUAACCGGAGUAGUGCAUUGGAAACUGGGAGACUUGAGUGCAGAAGAGGAGAGUGGAACUCCAUGUGUAGCGGUGAAAUGCGUAGAUAUAUGGAAGAACACCAGUGGCGAAAGCGGCUCUCUGGUCUGUAACUGACGCUGAGGUUCGAAAGCGUGGGUAGCAAACAGG
rnacentral:rRNA from 1 species